rnacentral:lncRNA from 1 species
ACUGAACAUAAACUCACUGGCUCAUGAUCCUGGUGGCUGGGAAGUAAGAGACUGUGAGGCCAGCACCUGGAUGGUGCCUUCAUGCUGUGUCAUGCCAGGGCAGAGCGAAGAGAGGGGUGCACGCCCAGGACAGGGGAGGCAUCUGAGGAACCAGCGUUCUUGAAGACCUCAGGUGUUGACCCAAAGCACGACACUCUUUCUCAAGUGCAGUUUGGAGAACUAUCAAAACGUACCACGUGCUCACGACCCCGGCUGGAAGAAUAUGCAAUGUGUGCAAAGAAGCGCUCAGGGCCUGCUUCAGUGAAGGAGGCCACGGACUAUGUACACGAUGCUGGACAGAGCCCCGGGGAGGACAUGGAGGCCAGGUGCUGACUACCAAGGACACUUCAUGCUGGCUCCCAGAGCGAUGAGGUGAGCCAGCUUCGGUUGCCCACACAGAAUGAGCCUGAAUGUAGGCACCACCCCCAUGUGACCAGCUGCUGGCUCACCUGGAAACCCCCAGCAUCCUUCCUGGAGCUUGGAAAACAGGAAGUGAGAGACACCCCGCCCCAAAGGGGGGCUCCCGCUGCACAUCCAUAAACCUGGCCUCCCGCCUCCGUCCCCAGCCCACCUGGCUGGCUUCCUGCUCCCACCUUGGCUUCAGAGUGACAUCUUCAGAGGGUCCUCUGGCCCUGUCACAGCUUGUCUUCUGAGGGCAGCCACCGUUACAACUGGGGUUCCAAAGCCUGGUGCAUAGUAGGUGCUCAAUAAAUGCAUACAUGCUGA